rnacentral:misc_RNA from 1 species
AGCAGCCGCGGUAAUUCCAGCUCCAAUAGCGUAUAUUAAAGUUGUUGCAGUUAAAAGCUCGUAGUUGAAUUUCGGGAUUGACACAUCGGUCGUGCCUUAAGGGUAUGAACUGGUGUAGUCAAUUUCUCACCUUCUGGAGAACCGCGAUGCCCUUAAUUGGGUGUCGCGGGGAACCAGGACCUUUACUUUGAAAAAUUAGAGUGUUUAAAGCAGGCAUUUUGCUUGAAUACAUUAGCAUGGAAUAAUAAAAUAGGACGGCAUGAUUCUAUUUUGUUGGUUUCUAGGAUCACCGUAAUGAUUAAUAGGGAUGGUUGGGGGCAUUAGUAUUCAAUUGUCAGAGGUGAAAUUCUUGGAUUUAUUGAAGACUAACCACUGCGAAAGCAUUUGCCAAGGAUGUUUUCAUUAAUCAAGAACGAAGUUAGGGAUCGAAGACGAUCAGAUACCGUCGUAGUCUUAACCAUAAACUAUAGCCGGACUAGGAAUCAGACGAUGUUUAAUUUUUAAUGUACUCGUUUGGCUA